CAGUGAUGAUGGCCAUGUAAAACCAGAAGUGAGCCUGCCAUGUGCUGAACACCCAUGUCCAUGGACUCUCAGCUCCCCAGCAGUCAAGUAUCUAUGAAUUACAAAGCUGAAAUUUAUGUUGUCUGUUGUUGAGUGUUUGUCUCUACUUGAUCUCUACCUGUUCCUGAAGGAAAGCCCUGAACUUCUGUCCCUUGAAUAGCUCUCUGCUUCAAGUUCAACAAACUCACCUUGUUAUUGUAGAUCAACCAGAAGAUUUAACUAAGUGGAUUUUGUAUGAAUAAUGCUAUUCAAAAUAAAGACAUGUUCAAGAUUCUCAUUGCAAUAAAAGAGUACGCUCA